rnacentral:rRNA from 1 species
UACGAAGGGGGCUAGCGUUGUUCGGAAUUACUGGGCGUAAAGCGCACGUAGGCGGACUAUUAAGUCAGGGGUGAAAUCCCGGGGCUCAACCCCGGAACUGCCUUUGAUACUGGUAGUCUCGAGUCCGGAAGAGGUGAGUGGAAUUCCGAGUGUAGAGGUGAAAUUCGUAGAUAUUCGGAGGAACACCAGUGGCGAAGGCGGCUCACUGGUCCGGUACUGACGCUGAGGUGCGAAAAGCGUGGGGAG